AGAGUUUGAUCCUGGCUCAGGAUGAACGCUGGCGGCGUGCCUAACACAUGCAAGUCGAACGGAGCGCACAAGACGGAAUCCUUCGGGAGGAAGACGUGUGUGACUUAGUGGCGGAGGGGUGAGUAACGCGUGGGUAACCUGCCCUGCACAGGGGGAUAACACCUGGAAACAGGUGCUAAAACCGCAUAAGCGCACAGAGGCGCAUGCCUCAGUGUGAAAAACUCCGGUGGUGCAGGAUGGACCCGCGUCUGAUUAGGCAGUUGGCGGGGUAACGGCUCACCAAACCGACGAUCAGUAGCCGGCCUGAGAGGGUGGACGGCCACAUUGGGACUGAGACACGGCCUAAACUCCUACGGGAGGCAGCAGUGGGGAAUAUUGCACAAUGGGGGAAACCCUGAUGCAGCGACGCCGCGUGAGUGAAGAAGUAUUUCGGUAUGUAAAGCUCUAUCAGCAGGGAAGAAAGAGACGGUACCUGAGUAAGAAGCCCCGGCUAACUACGUGCCAGCAGCCGCGGUAAUACGUAGGGGGCAAGCGUUAUCCGGAAUUACUGGGUGUAAAGGGAGCGUAGACGGCGAGGCAAGUCUGAAGUGAAAGCCCUGUGCUUAACGCAGGGACUGCUUUGGAAACUGUUUGGCUGGAGUGCCGGAGAAGUAAGCGGAAUUCCUAGUGUAGCGGUGAAAUGCGUAGAUAUUAGGAAGAACACCAGUGGCGAAGGCGGCUUACUGGACGGUAACUGACGUUGAGGCUCGAAAGCGUGGGGAGCAAACAGGAUUAGAUACCCUGGUAGUCCACGCGGUAAACGAUGAUUGCUAGGUGUAGGUGGGUAUGGACCCAUCGGUGCCGCAGCUAACGCAGUAAGCAAUCCACCUGGGGAGUACGUUCGCAAGAAUGAAACUCAAAGGAAUUGACGGGGACCCGCACAAGCGGUGGAGCAUGUGGUUUAAUUCGAAACAACGCGAAGAACCUUACCAAGUCUUGACAUCUGGAUGACAGAGCAUGUAAAGUGUUUUCUCUUCGGAGCAUCCAAGACAGGUGGUGCAUGGUUGUCGUCAGCUCGUGUCGUGAGAUGUUGGGUUAAGUCCCGCAACGAGCGCAACCCUUAUUCCUAGUAGCCAGCGGCAAGGCCGGGCACUCUAGGGAGACUGCCGGGGAUAACCCGGAGGAAGGUGGGGAUGACGUCAAAUCAUCAUGCCCCUUAUGAUUUGGGCUACACACGUGCUACAAUGCGUAAACAAAGGGAAGCGAACCUGCGAGGGGGAGCGAAACCCAAAAAUAACGUCCCAGUUCGGACUGCAGUCUGCAACCCGACUGCACGAAGCUGGAAUCGCUAGUAAUCGCGGAUCAGAAUGCCGCGGUGAAUACGAUCCCGGGUCUUGCACUCACCGCCCGUCA
rnacentral:rRNA from 1 species